UUUACUUAUUCUGUGGGGAGGAGAUGGGGCAUAGCCCCUAUUUUUGGCCAUAAGACACAUUUUGGCAGGUCAAUAUGGGUGGAAGACAUUGUCAGGUGGGGAGUUUGGAUAGGGUGACACAUCUGUUAAAAGAUAACACAAGUGUCCUAAGAUGAGCUCAACAAGAAUCGAAAUCUCGUGUGGAACAAAAGGGUAAAAUAUCAGUUGAUUUUCCACCAACCUAUUGAUCCUUAUAAUACAUUGAUGGAUAUGAAUUAAUACAUCAACUAGAUGUUUGCAUGCAUCAACAUAGUUAAUUUUAAAUAUUGAUUGCUUGAG
rnacentral:ncRNA from 1 species